GGACUACCGGGGUUUCUAAUCCCGUUUGCUCCCCUAGCUUUCGCACCUCAGCGUCAGUUGCAGACCAGAGAGUCGCUUUCGCCACCGGCGUUCCUCCUGAUAUCUACGCAUUUCACCGCUCCACCAGGAAUUCCACUCUCCCCUUCUGCACUCAAGCCAAGUAGUAUCCACUGCAGUUCCCCGGUUAAGCCGGGGGAUUUCACAAUGGACUUGCUCAACCGCCUACGUGCUCUUUAUGCCCAGUGAUUCCGAACAACGUUCGCACCAUACGUAUUACCGCGGCGGCUGGCACG
rnacentral:misc_RNA from 1 species